GCCGCGGUAAUUCCAGCUCCAAUAGCGUAUAUUAACGUUGUUGCAGUUAAAAAGCUCGUAGUUGAAGUGUGGGUGAUCGCUAUUGUGAGACUUCGGUCUCUCGAUAGUAAGUCACCCCCUUCCAGUAUCCAGUAGUGGGUAUUCAGUUACUUACUAUUGUGUGUUGGUCCUUUACUGUGAGAAAAUUAGAGUGUUCAAAGCAGGCGUUUGCUUGAAUAGAUUAGCAUGGAAUAAUAAUUGAAGGCUUUCGUGUUCGAUUUGAUUGGUUUGUUCAUGGAAGCAAGGUUAAAAGGAACAGUUGGGGGUAUUCAUAUUCACUAGUUAGAGGUGAAAUUCUCGGAUUUAUGGAAGAUGAACAAGUGCGAAAGCAUUUACCAAGGAUGUUUUCAUUAAUCAAGAGCGAAAG
rnacentral:rRNA from 1 species